rnacentral:ribozyme from 1 species
UGCCCAGCAACUCCUAUCCCUACCUCUUCGUUGUACCGGCGGGAAGAUCGGGUAACCAACCCCGGUGGGAGCUUUGGCCGUAGGCUGACAGAGAAGG